rnacentral:rRNA from 1 species
UGGGGAAUAUUGCACAAUGGGCGCAAGCCUGAUGCAGCGACGCCGCGUGAGUGAGGAAGUAUUUCGGUAUGUAAAGCUCUAUCAGCAGGGAAGAAGAAUGACGGUACCUGACUAAGAAGCACCGGCUAAAUACGUGCC